rnacentral:tRNA from 1 species
CCGAAGGUAGCUCAGCGGUAGAGCGGGAGACUGUAGUGUAAGCGUGGUGUAAACUGCACUUUGAAUUGAUAUCUCUAGGUCCCUGGUUCAAAUCCGGGUCUUCGGA